UACGUAGGUGGCGAGCGUUAUCCGGAAUCAUUGGGCGUAAAGAGGGAGCAGGCGGCCGCAAGGGUCUGUGGUGAAAGACCGAAGCUAAACUUCGGUAAGCCAUGGAAACCGGGCGGCUAGAGUGCGGAAGAGGAUCGUGGAAUUCCAUGUGUAGCGGUGAAAUGCGUAGAUAUAUGGAGGAACACCAGUGGCGAAGGCGACGGUCUGGGCCGCAACUGACGCUCAUUCCCGAAAGCGUGGGGAGCAAAUAGG
rnacentral:rRNA from 3 species